rnacentral:rRNA from 1 species
UCGAACGAAGCACCUGAGAACGAUUCUUCGGAUGAAGUCUCUUGUGACCUUGUGGCGGACGGGUGAGUAACGCGUGGGUAACCUGCCUCACACAGGGGGAUAACAGUUGGAAACGACCGCUAAUACCGCAUAAGCUGCCGGUGCCGCAUGGCACUGACGGAAAAGAUUUUAUCGGUGUGAGAUGGACCCGCGUCUGAUUAGCCAGUUGGCAGGGUAACGGCCUACCAAAGCGACGAUCAGUAGCCGGCCUGAGAGGGUGAACGGCCACAUUGGGACUGAGACACGGCCCAGACUCCUGCGGGAGGCAGCAGUGGGGAAUAUUGCACAAUGGGGGAAACCCUGAUGCAGCGACGCCGCGUGAGUGAAGAAGUAUUUCGGUAUGUAAAGCUCUAUCAGCAGGGAAGAAAAUGACGGUACCUGAUUAAGAAGCCCCGGCUAACUACGUGCCAGCAGCCGCGGUAAUACGUAGGGGGCAAGCGUUAUCCGGAUUUACUGGGUGUAAAGGGAGCGUAGACGGUGAUGCAAGUCAGAAGUGAAAGCCCGGGGCUCAACUCCGGGACUGCUUUUGAAACUGUGUGACUGGAGUGCAGGAGAG